UCAAGCGCUUUAAUGUUGGUGAAGAUUGCCCUGUCUUUGACGGUCUUUUCUCCUUCUGUCAAACUUAUGCUGGGGGCUCUGUUGGUGGUGCUGUCAAGUUGAAUCACGGCCUCUGUGAUAUUGCUAUCAUUAAACAAUAAUUUCAUGUAAUAAAAAAAAUGCCAUCCGGUUGAAUAGUGUCAAACUAAAAUAAUGAGUUGCCCGAACCGAACUGAAGGAUUAUGAUUGGUGGUUUGAGUUUUUCACUUAAAAUUUUCAAAUAUCUCGUCUCGUCUCGUGAUAACACGAUUUUGGAUUAGCAGCUUCUAUUCUACACGCUGCAUUACGCAAGUUAAGCCCCAUCUGUUUUAUUCUCUUGAGGUCUCGUCCCGUUGCAUUCUUAGUUAGUGUUGGCUCUCCCAGUAAGUGCAGGCCCCAAGGUAAUUCUAAAAUGAACCCUCUUUGUUUUAUUUUGUUUAUUUAAUUUUUUGGUUUCGCUUUUUAAAGAUUGAGGUUUGUGUGGUAUUGAUAUUGGAUACACCGAUGCUUGUAUUUUGUUGAUUCAUUAUUGCAAAUCUGAAUCCUUUUUCCUUUUUGCUAAUUAACGACUGCAUAGUUUUCAAACAUUCAAACCAUUUUGCUUUUUCACAUCACCUCUGUAAACCGUAAUUUAUUCAAUUUUUUUUUCCUUUUAGGUUACCAGCGCUGAUUCUAAUUCUUCGUAUAACGAAGCAAAUCUGACUAUUUGAUUUUUUUUUAAUAAAAAGCAGAAAUAUUAUUCAUAUGGACACUGGAGGCAAUUCUUUACCAUCUGGUACUGAUGGCGUUAAGAGAAAGGUGUGUUAUUUCUACGACCCAGAGGUGGGCAAUUACUACUAUGGACAGGGUCACCCGAUGAAACCCCAUCGCAUUCGUAUGACCCAUGCCCUUCUCGCCCACUACGGCUUGCUUCAGAACAUGCAGGUCCUCAAACCUUUUCCUGCUAGGGAAAGGGAUCUUUGCCGCUUCCAUGCCGAUGAUUAUGUCUCCUUCCUCAGGAGUAUCACCCCUGAGACUCAGCAGGAUCAGCUUAGGCAGCUCAAGCGCUUUAAUGUUGGUGAAGAUUGCCCUGUCUUUGACGGUCUUUUCUCCUUCUGUCAAACUUAUGCUGGGGGCUCUGUUGGUGGUGCUGUCAAGUUGAAUCACGGCCUCUGUGAUAUUGCUA
rnacentral:lncRNA from 1 species